UGGCAAGCCAGCUCCCACAGGGUUUGGGUGAUGCUUACAUUUACAGCAUCCCUAAAACACUGUGGGAGCUGGCUUGCCA
rnacentral:antisense_RNA from 1 species